GAUUUCUGGUUAGUCACACCGGCCCGCUGGCUUCGGUUGGUGAGUGUUGGUGUGUACUAUCCAUCCUUCUAGAUUGCUGUGCGUGCCGUUUACUCGGUUGCGCGCAUGCGGUCUAGAUCUUUUACUUUGAAAAAAUUAGAGUGUUUAAAGCAGGCUUACGCUGUGAAUACAUUAGCAUGGAAUAAUAAUAUAGGACUUUGUUUCUAUUUUGUUGGUUUCUAGGAAUGAAGUAAUGAUUGAUAGGGAUAAUUGGGGGUGCUAGUAUUCAGCGGCCAGAGGUGAAAUUCUUGGAUUCGCUGAAGACUAACUACUGCGAAAGCAUU
rnacentral:rRNA from 1 species